rnacentral:pre_miRNA from 1 species
AAAGUACUCCCUCCAUCCCAAAAUUCUUGUCUUAGAUUUUUCUAGAUACAGAUGUAUCAAGUCACAUUUUAGUAUUAGAUACAUUCGUAUCUAGACAAAUCUAAGACAAGAAAUUUGGGACAGAGGGAGUAGUUG